CAGUCGAGGGGUAUAGUUCUUCGGAAUUAGAGACCGGCGCACGGGUGCGUAACGCGUAUGCAAUCUACCUUUCACAGAGGGAUAGCCCAGAGAAAUUUGGAUUAAUACCUCAUAGUAUGCAGAGUUGGCAUCAACCCUGCAUUAAAGUCACAACGGUGAAAGAUGAGCAUGCGUCCCAUUAGCUAGUUGGUAAGGUAACGGCUUACCAAGGCUACGAUGGGUAGGGGUCCUGAGAGGGAGAUCCCCCACACUGGUACUGAGACACGGACCAGACUCCUACGGGAGGCAGCAGUGAGGAAUAUUGGACAAUGGGCGCAAGCCUGAUCCAGCCAUGCCGCGUGCAGGAUGACGGUCCUAUGGAUUGUAAACUGCUUUUGUACAGGAAGAAACACUCCUUCGUGAAGGAGCUUGACGGUACUGUAAGAAUAAGGAUCGGCUAACUCCGUGCCAGCAGCCGCGGUAAUACGGAGGAUCCAAGCGUUAUCCGGAAUCAUUGGGUUUAAAGGGUCCGUAGGCGGUUUAGUAAGUCAGUGGUGAAAGCCCAUCGCUCAACGGUGGAACGGCCAUUGAUACUGCUAGACUUGAAUUAUUAGGAAGUAACUAGAAUAUGUAGUGUAGCGGUGAAAUGCUUAGAGAUUACAUGGAAUACCAAUUGCGAAGGCAGGUUACUACUAAUGGAUUGACGCUGAUGGACGAAAGCGUGGGUAGCGAACAGGAUUAGAUACCCUGGUAGUCCACGCCGUAAACGAUGGAUACUAGCUGUUGGGAGCGAUCUCAGUGGCUAAGCGAAAGUGAUAAGUAUCCCACCUGGGGAGUACGUUCGCAAGAAUGAAACUCAAAGGGAUUGACGGGGGCCCGCACAAGCGGUGGAGCAUGUGGUUUAAU
rnacentral:rRNA from 1 species